UACGUAGGGUGCAAGCGUUGUCCGGAAUUAUUGGGCGUAAAGAGCUCGUAGGCGGUCUGUCGCGUCGGCUGUGAAAACCCGAGGCUCAACCUCGGGCCUGCAGUCGAUACGGGCAAACUAGAGUACUGCAGGGGAGACUGGAAUUCCUGGUGUAGCGGUGAAAUGCGCAGAUAUCAGGAGGAACACCGGUGGCGAAGGCGGGUCUCUGGGCAGUAACUGACGCUGAGGAGCGAAAGCGUGGGGAGCGAGCAGG
rnacentral:rRNA from 1 species